rnacentral:rRNA from 1 species
GACGAACGCUGGCGGCGUGCCUAACACAUGCAAGUUGAGCGACGAACCAGGGCUUGCCCUGGGGCAAAGCAGCGAACGGGUGAGUAACACGUGGGUAACCUACCCCGAUAACCGGGACAACCCGAGGAAACUCGGGCUAAUACCGGAUGUGCUCACUGGACUUCGGUUCAGUGCGUAAAGGAAGCUUCGGCCUCCGUAUCGGGAGGGGCCCACGGCCCAUUAGUUGGUUGGUGAGGUAACGGCUCACCAAGACCGCGAUGGGUAGCUGGUCUGAGAGGACGAUCAGCCACACUGGGACUGAGACACGGCCCAGACUCCUACGGGAGGCAGCAGUGGGGAAUCUUGCGCAAUGCGCGAAAGCGUGACGCAGCAACGCCGCGUGGGGGAAGAAGGCCUUCGGGUUGUAAACCCCUUUCAGGAGGGACGAAGGUUCGGCGGUGAAUAGCCGUCCGGACUGACGGUACCUCCACAAGAAGCCCCGGCUAACUACGUG